GCCCCUCGCCGUCCUUUCCAGGUCCCUAGCCGGGCCGCGCGGCGGCUGCCGGGACUUGUAGUCUUCUUUCUUUCAGCAGUAAGGCUGGCUACAAUUGGCUCUUGGAGACGCAGUGGUUCUCUCUCGUCGCCGGAUGGCCGCCAUCUUGACUUCGUCGUUUCUGUGGAGCUAGCGGUGGGUUUCGCCUUCGUAACUCGAUGAGAUUGAGAGAAAUAGUAUUGCCGUCCACUAUCUCAAGCCAUCAGGAUUUGGGAGAUGUGUGGCAAACCUUUCUGGCCAGAGGAACUAUGACUUAAGACACAACCAUAGUUACUAGCUGGGCAGAGCUGCAGAUGUCACACCUCCUUGUGGUCCUGCUGGAAUGCCGUCAUGGUAAUUGAGUUGACUUCUGCCCAGAGACUGUGUUAUAGGUUGCUUCCUCCCUAUCAUCUGGCUGUGCCUACAAUAUCCUGGAUGUGUUGGAAUCCCUGAGAUGCAGUAUCCCUCUUGACAAGGUGCACAUGGUGUUCAAGUUGAGAUGGGAAUUACCUGAAACAUUCAAGGGCCUUGCUGUUUUUUGAUCAGUUGGCCAAAUGGACAACUUGGCAUUCCAAGCUGUGGUCACAGUGAAAGAAAUCUUAGUUUGAGGGAUCUUAUUAAAAUAGAUCCAGUUCUAGUUAAUGGAACUGUUCCAUCUUUGGUUGCUCUCUGGUAUCAUCCCAGACAUGGCAAAAGGGUGUGGACCAUCAUAUUAUUGCUCUGAUUGCAAGCAUAUAUGGUAACAUCAAGAUGUAUAUCGACAUGAUGAGCAGUCGGAUCCCAUCAGGAUUUGGAUUGGGAAUCGGUGAUUCAAUGUCUCAGAUUCUAUUUAACCUAGCUGUGAACCCUCUGCUGUGGAAGCUUGAAGAGGAGGGAUAUGGUUACCAAUGUUGUGAGAAAAAUUUAACAUUUAUGACUUUUCCAGAUGACCUUGUUUUGUUAAGUGGAUCAUGGGAGGGAAUUAAGAGAAAUAUUGAAAUCUUAAAUGCUUUUUGUGAUCUUACAGGCCUGAGGAUGCAAGGGGAGAAGUGCUAUGACUUCUAUAUCAAGCCUGUCAAGGACUCAUAUACCAUCAGUGACUGUCCACCAGGGACAAUUAAUGGCCUGCCCCUCAAUAUGACUGAUCCUGAUAACUGAGAAAUACCUGGGAUUUUGCAUUGAUCCAUGGGUAGGAAUAUCAAAAACAGACUUACUGAGAAAACUGGAAGAUUGGCUACAUCAGAUUGAAAAGGCUCUUUUAAAACCAUUUCAGAAGGUAGACAUCUUGAAAGGAUAUACUAUCCCCAGAUUGAUCUAUUUGGCAGACCAGGCUGGUAUGAAAGCCAUGGACCUUGAGUCUUGAUUUGGCAAUUAGAUCUGCCAUCAAGAACUGGUUGCAUUUACCUUCAAGUAUAUCUGAUGUCAUCCUUUAUUCCAGCACAAGAGAUGGUGGCCUAGGUAUUACCAGACUGUCAGGACUAAUCCCCAGUAUACAAGCUUGAAGACUGUAUAGGAUCACACAGUCUUCAGAUGAAACAAUGAGAGUAAUUAUAAGGGAAGAGGAAAUUCAGAGGGAAUUUGAAAAACUAUGGAUAACAGCAGGUGGUGACAAAGUUCCAUCACUUUGGGACCCAAAACCAGUUAUGGCAAUGAUAGGGAAGAUGUUUGCUAAUGUCUUUACAAAAAAUUUGAUGGGCGAGGGUAUGGGUGUUAACGUCUUUGAAACAGGUCUUAAUGUCUCUACUAACUUCAAGCAGCAGGUUUGUUACAGAGCCCAGACAGCUUGGCUCCUGAAACAGCCAAGUGGGUCUGCACAAGCCUGAACUUCUGAUGUUUGGGGUAAAAUGACAGGUUCAAGGGGGGAUAUGUGGUAGGCGGUUCAGGUAGGUUUCCUAGUACCUCAGUCAAUGGGGAAAGGAAGAGGGCAACAUGCUGCCAGGAGUUUAGGAUAAUGGAGGCAGUGUCCUCCAAAACCUUGAGAGAGAAAACCCCGCAGACACGUGCCCCAGUGGACUCUCUCUCUAUUUGAAUAAAGUUGCAGGGCUCCUCUGUCUCCUUUAUGGAUACUGCUUUUUCAUAGUGUGAUUUUUCCACACAAGAUGGGAGCUCAUCUGGGAUCCUUCCACCAUCUAGGGCCAGCACACGGCAAGAGGAGCUGGAGGCGCGCCUCACCUAGUUCCGGUGACCAGCUCCCUUUGACGCUGGCCAACACUGGGCGAUUGAUUGGGUACCCGAGACAGUCCAGGAGACAGACAAGAGGCAGACCAAGGGGCUUCAUGAAGAGUCCACAGGAAAGGACCACUGGAAAUCUCACCAGGGAGUAAAACAUGGCAGGAUGCCUGGAGGGGCAGUAAAGGAAAGUUGAGAAAAGGUCUCAACUAUAGGGGUGACAAUCCCAAAAUACCUUCAAAGGGUCCUUUGGGAGAAUGUUGAGAUGUUUUGCACAUUCUCCCAGAGGCAGUUAAGGACAUGGACGCCCAGAAGGGUCAAUAAGGGCAGUCGAGAAGGAAUCUUGGAAAAGGAUUGGCUGAAGGGGAGUGUGGAGGAAUAUGGUUAAGGCAAAUAGCAACGGGAGACUGUAUGAUAAGGAAAGAGAAACAGUGAGAACUGGUAUGUUCUCUGCCUUAUCUUCAUAGUCUCUAGUCUAAUACGGGGUGGCUGCAAGUCUUAUGUACUCCCAGCUUCCAGGAUAUGGAAAACAGGGAGGUACUGCUCCUACACCCCCACCCCUCCCCGGGUCAUUAUGAAGCCAGGGUGGAGAAUUUGGGGUUGACCACUUACUACUCAGGACUUGAGAGGAUUUCUCUAUGGUGAGGAGUGCCGAGGCCAGGUGCGAGAGAGCAGGACCGGUGGCAUGGGCUGGGGACGAGUAGGGAGGUGCACGACCAAGCUGGGGCUGUGGGGCAGCCAUGGGCUCAGUGCCGGGCGGUGCCCAAUGCCGCCACCCCCCCGGGGCAGGGGCUGCAGUGGCCCCCGGCCCCCAUGAGGUUCCGGGAAGUCCCGUCCGCUUGCCCGUCCCUGUGACACUGCCGGCUGUGCCCUCCCUGAGCUGCGACAGCAUCUGGUGCUUUGCAAAGCAUGUGGUGCUGGGAGAGCGCCCAGGGGCCUGGACGGGUUUGCUGGGGGGGCGGGGUGGGCGUCUGGACACUCCGUCAGGACAGGGACCGGCUUUGGUGUAUGGUGUAAGAUACAGGGACCAGCUUUGAUUUAAGAUACAAUGUGUCACCAAAGCCUGGCCCUAUAUAAGAAGGGAUUUUGUUUGGAUCACCAGGGAGGCCAAUGAUUUUGCAGAGUUUGGCGGUUGUGGAAGGGUGAGAGCUCACAUGCAGCGGGAGCAGGGGCUGGAGAGGUGGCAGUGAACCCUUGCAAGAGUUGGUUAGAAAGGCACAUCAGGUAUAUGAAAGAAAGGAUAAGGUAAAGGUACAGACAAGGAUAAUAGCAGUUUUUACAAGCUCGAUUGAGAAGGAAUCAAUGUGCCAUUUGUAAAAAAACAAAAGGAGAACAUUAGAAAUGGAUUGUUAAGGGUGUCAGGAUCUUCUAAUGUACCGGGAGCUCACCACACUGGAGCCCUUAUGAAAGGGGAUUCUUUUGAUAAUUCAGGGAGUAAGUGGGAAAGAUGAGCCUGUAUGCUUUAUUCAACCACUAUUGGUGAGUGUGUGAGAUGGGUUUGAAAGGCAUGAAUUUCUGUUCCUAGUUGUGAUUGUGAUUUGCUAGGAGGGGAUUUGAUGACUGAGUUGGGAAUGCAAGUAAGUGUGAAAAACAGAGUUCACUCCUUAGAAUUUUUAAAAGUUUAAUAAUAAUAGGAUAAAAGAGGGACAAUAUUUCCAGCUCUGGGGUGCUCCUGGCCAACAGCCAAAGAACACGGUUGUGAAAAACGCCAAUCACUUGUUUUUAAAAAUUUUCAAAGUUUAAUAGUAAUAAAAUGGUUAUAACAAUAGUAAUAUAAAAUUUGAACAAUUGAGAUUAGGACAAUAUGAGACAAUAAAAACAAAGAGUUACAGACGUCCGGGUACCUUUUUCUGGGCAAAAUAAGCCCGAAAAAGGACACCUGUUAACACCCUUAAAAACAAUAGCCUGUUGCAUAUUCAUACACGUCAUACAUGAUGCAUAAAUUCCAUUCAAACACAGGAUUUUGUCUGGUCAUUGUCAACUUCUUCCUCUGAAUCCUAAUGGUGCCUUCAUGGUGGGAAGAAGUUAGUUUCUUCUGAUAAAAGAGCAAUAAAUUCUCUUUCUCUGAAAGAUUUAGGUGUCUUGUGGCUGCUAUCUCACUGCGAGUCCUUUCUUUUUUUAAAAAAAGUAUCUUACAUAGCAUAGUUUCUAUUUUAACAUUAUGUUAUAACCUAAAACUGUAUUUAACACACUACUUGAGAAAAUUAAUACAGCAUAAUUUUCUAACAUAACACAUAUAAUACUCAUUUAAUAUUUGCAAAAAGCAACUAACUAUCUGCUGCUGUGGAAUGCAACAGGUGCAUCUUCCAUUGGUCCAUGUGGAUUGUUUUCAAUUGAUGACCAAUCACAGCCACCUGUGCCAAGGCUGUGAGCAGUCACAGGAUUUUGUUAUGCAUUCUAUUCUAUUCUUGUUCUUUGUAGCCUUCUGAUCAUUCUUCUCUCUCUGUUCUUUUAGUAUAGUUUUAAUGUAGUAUUUUAAUAUAAUAUAUAACAUAAUAAAUCAGCCUUCUGAUGAAAAUGGAGUCAAGCCUCGUGUCCCCACACAUGGAGUAUCCACUGCAACAUCCUGGUUAUCACUUGGAGGAUUCAUUCAACAGAAAGGGGAGCAACAUGAUCACUUUACACCAUUUGUUUGGUUACAUAGAGGUAUUUUAACACCUAGUGUUCAGCUAAGGCCUAUAAUAUAGUAUAUUCACCCCACUACGGUUUCUAUAAACUAUGCAAUACAUACUUAAACUUAUAGAUUUUGUUAUACUGGCAAACAGCUAAAUAAAGGUAUACAUAUGA